AAGUCGUAACAAGGUUUCCGUAGGUGAACCUGCGGAAGGAUCAUUAUUGAAUGAAUGUAGAGUUGGUUGUCGCUGGCCUUUAUUGGCAUGUGCACGCCUUCUCUUUCAUCCACACACACCUGUGCACCUGUGAGACGGAGAGCUUUGCCCUUUUAUUAGGGUGUUUUUCUCCGUCUGCCAAUACAUAAAACCAUAUAUAAUAAUUUGAAUGUAAUUUGAUGUAACGCAUCUAUAAACUAAGUUUCAACAACGGAUCUCUUGGCUCUCGCAUCGAUGAAGAACGCAGCGAAAUGCGAUAAGUAAUGUGAAUUGCAGAAUUCAGUGAAUCAUCGAAUCUUUGAACGCACCUUGCGCUCCUUGGUAUUCCUUGGAGCAUGCCUGUUUGAGUAUCAUGAAAUUAUCAAAACAUCACCUUUUGUUCAUUCGAUUGGUUUUGGUUUGGACUUGGAGGUCUUGCGGAUUCACGUCUGCUCCUCUUAAAAACAUUAGCUGGAUCUCAGUAAACUCGGUUCCACUCGGCGUGAUAAGUAUCACUCGCUGAGGACACCCGUAAAAAAGGUGGCCAGGAUUGCAGAUGAACCGCUUCUAAUAGUCYAUUAAAUUGGACAAACAUACUUUAUGAUCUGAUCUCAAAUCAGGUAGGACUACCCGCUGAACUUAA
rnacentral:rRNA from 1 species